rnacentral:lncRNA from 1 species
GAAAUCCCACUUCCAGCUAGAUGUCUGCAUGAACUACUGAAAGCUGCUGAGUGUCUUGCAGCAGGUGAGCUGUGGCCAGAGCUCAAGGAUGAAGGGGACUCCCUCACUCUGUGACUGUGAAGAGGAAGCCUGAGGUGUAGCAGGCCCAGGUCCCAGAAGUAUGGAAAAAAUGAGCAUUUCAUCCCAAAGAUGCAGCCGACUUGAUUGUGGUGGAUAAGCUUUUUGAUGUGCUGCUGGAUUCUGUUUGCUAGUAUUUUAUUAAGAAUUUUUGCAUUAAUGUUCAUCAGGGAUAUUGGCCUGGAUUGAGCAGGCCAUUUCCAAUCCAGCGGAAGACCUUCUAGAAGAGGUGAUGGGUGGGAGAGUGCUGGCAUACUAUGUGAAGCUACUAUUUGGAGUUGGACACGAGUGCAUGUGACCUUGUGCCACAGCGGGAAUGUGAGCUGGAUGACAAAUGGAGAUUUGGACUUGUGAUAAUUGGCCUCUGUGUCAUUGUGUGGAAGACUGACUGGUCCCUUUAUUUCCUGUAGCUUGACUACCACACAAAUGAAUCCACUCAAAUGUUGGCAAGUGGAGCAGAGUCCCAGGACAGUCUGCAAUCUCUACAGGUACAGAAACACCCCCAGUUCAAGGAUCUUCACACCUGGAUUUAGGCCUACUCCUGCAACUACCCCAGGCCAGUUAUCCAGGCAGUGACUUUCAGUGCAGCUACAGUCACCUCUGGAAACCUGCGGAGACUUUAAAAAUUUCCAGAAGGUCAGGAAUUUUUGGAGACCUUUCUCAUGGCUACAUUGCCUGCAAAGGUGAAUCAAUAAGCUUCUGAACUGACUUAGAAAAUGUUGCAGAGACUCUUGUGAACAGAUAGACCCUCUCCUGCCACUCAGAUAGACGUAUCAGGGUCACACACACCUGAUUUAACAACAUGUCAUUAUCUCAGGUGGGCAACAGACAGCAAUUUAGGACCUAUCCCAGUGUGGAUGAAAGACAUUGAGUUGGCU